rnacentral:rRNA from 1 species
CAGCCGUAAACUAUGCGCGUUAGGUGUAUCGGUGACCACGAGUUACCGAGGUGCCGAAGGGAAACCGUGAAACGUGCCGCCUGGGAAGUACGGUCGCAAGGCUGAAACUUAAAGGAAUUUGGCGGGGGGAGGCACCACAACAGGUGGAGCCUGCGGUUUAAUUGGACUCAACGCCGGGAAGCUCACCGGAUAGGACAGCAGAAUGAUUGCCGGGCUGAAGACCCUGCAUGACUAGCUGAGAGGAGGUGCAUGGCGUCAGUGACU